rnacentral:rRNA from 1 species
GAUUCUGGCUCAGGAUUAACGCUGGCGGCGUGCCUAAUACAUGCAAGUCGGAUGGUUAGCUUGCUAACCAUGGCGAACGGGUGAGUAACACGUAGGCAACCUGUCUAAUAGACGAGGAUAACCAUUGGAAACGAUGGAUAAUACUGGAUAGGAUUAUUUAGGGCAUCCUAGAUAAUUUAAAGAUUUAUCACUUUUAGAGGGGCCUGCGGCGCAUUAGCUAGUUGGUAGAGGUAAAGGCCUACCAAGGCGAUGAUGCGUAGCCGGACUGAGAGGUUGAACGGCCACAAUGGGACUGAGAACGGCCCAUACUCCUACGGGAGGCAGCAGUAGGGAAUUUUCGGCAAUGGGCGGAAGCCUGACCGAAGCAACGCCGCGUGAACGAAGAAGUAUUUCGGUAUGUAAAGUUCUUUUAUUUGGGAAGAAAAGACAGAUUGACUGUACCAAAUGAAUAAGCUCCGGCUAACUACGUGCCAGCAGCCGC